GGACCACCUGGUAGCAUGGUACUUGAGUUGCGGUUAACCGCAGAAACCACAGGAUAAUUGCCGCCACACGACCCACUGUAGGGGGACUCCGUUUGUGUGGUUGUUCAGUAGGUUCCCUUCGGUGCUUUGUGUGCGAACGUCGAUCCCCCAGGCCCAUCAAUUAGUCUGUGGUUAACCGCAGACCGCAGCCACCUGGGUGGUUAAUGGCCGCCACACUCCGCUGGUCGGGUGGUCGACCGUUCGGUACUUUGCAGGGUGACGAGGUUAAGUGGCGGCACACGCCAGCAUUUGGGGGGUCUCUUGUUCGUAUCACGAAUGGGGUCUUUAUAAGAGUUCGUGUAAUCCAUUCGUGUUUUCCUCGGCUUAAGCGUAUAGAGUUGUAACAGUAGCAAUCGGUAUUAACAGUAACAAAGUCAUUUCGAGUCUUUUGUAACAACCGUGACAGAUGCCUACCCGAUGCCCCGAGUAGAUGAGCUGUUAGAUCACAUAGCCAGGGGACACUACUUAACUACCAGUGACCUCUGUCAAGGUUACUGGCAGAUUCCCCAGGCCAAGGAAGCUAUCCCCAAGUCAGCCUUUGUCACUCCGUUUGGCUUGUACCAGUUUAAGGUCAUGCCCUUCGGGAUGAAAAAUGCCCCAGCGACGUUCCAGCACUUGGUGGAUAGACUCCUUGAUGGCUUCCAGGAUUUGGCCUGUGCAUACCUGGAUGACAUAGUGAUCUAUAGUGAGUCCUGGGAGGACAAUCAGCUCAUGUAGGAAGAGUAUUGGAUCAGAUUCGGGCCGCCGGCCUGACUUUGAAACCAGAGAAGUGUAAUUUUGGAAGGGCCGAGGUCCAAUACCUGGGACACAAGGUGGGUUGUGGAAAACUACGGCCGGAGCCAGCCAAAGUAGAAGCCGUGUCUAACUGGCCCACACAGAGACCCGGCGGUGCCUUUUGGGCACCGCCGAGUAUUACAGGCGAUUUGUACAGGACGAUAGCACUCUUGUUAAACCCCUGAUUAACCUGACAAAGAAAAAUUUACCCAGACAGGUCCUGUGGUCUCCCCACUGUGAAACAACGUUCCAGGCUCUUAAGAAAGCCCUUGUAAAGGCUCCUGUCUUGGCUGCCCCAGCCCCUAACAAACUUUUUAUCGUCCAUACAGACGCUUCUUUUUUCGGGCUGGGGGCAGUUUUAAACUAAGUGGGAGAAGACGGAGGGGAACAUCCUGUCGCCUACAUCAGCCGUAAGCACCUACCACGAGAGGUCAGUUAUGCAGCCAUGGAAAAGGAGUGCCUGGCUUUGGUGUGGGCAUUAAAGAAACUGACUCCUUAUCUCUACGGACAAGAAUUAACGCUGAUCCCAGAUCAUAAUCCAUUGGUGUGGCUGAACUGGGUCACAGGAGACAAUGGCAGACUAUUACUUUGGCGCCUGUCAUUACAACCAUUUAACUUCACCAUCCAAUAUUGAUCUGAGAAGCAGAAUAGCAACACCGAUGGCAGUGGUGACCGAGCCCGGCCUUUCAACCCGGUAUGCACACCAGUGUGGCCAGCCUCUUCUCCUGGGGGGCCCAGGAGCCGGCCACCUCAGGGCCCCCCGAGGCUGGCCCUGGUGUUACCGGGCUGGUGCGCGCGAGGGAGCACUUUCCCCUGAGUGCUCUCACGUGCACCGCACUGAUACCGGAGCCGGAAGUAGGGGAUUAGUAUGCGACGCGAGAGGGACCUGAAGAGGGAGCACACAGGGGAGUGCUCCCUCGCGCGCCUGCCCACGGGUUGACAGCAUUGGACCUCAGGGAAUCCCCUCAGCACUCUCAAAGGUAGAUAGCCUGGGGGGAGUAAAUAAAAAAAAAAAAUGUGAGUGUGUGUGUUAGAGUGUCAGUGAGUGUGUUACUGUGUGCGUCAGUCAGUGAGUGUGUUAGUUUGUGUGCGUCAGUGAGUGUGUGUCUGUCAGUGAGUGUGUGUGUGUGUGUGUGUUUUAAGCACUUACCUUUCUCCAGCACCAAACUCCCUUGGCGCUUGGGAUCUCUCCACCCCGAUCCCCCUCUCAGCUCCGAAUGUGCAUGUUAGGCAAGAGCAGCAUGCCCAUUCAAACCGCCCAUAGGAAAGCAUUACUAAAUGC
rnacentral:lncRNA from 1 species